UACGUAGGGGGCUAGCGUUGUUCGGAAUUACUGGGCGUAAAGCGCACGUAGGCGGAUAUUUAAGUCAGGGGUGAAAUCCCAGAGCUCAACUCUGGAACUGCCUUUGAUACUGGGUAUCUGGAGUAUGGAAGAGGUGAGUGGAAUUCCGAGUGUAGAGGUGAAAUUCGUAGAUAUUCGGAGGAACACCAGUGGCGAAGGCGGCUCACUGGUCCAUUACUGACGCUGAGGUGCGAAAGCGUGGGGAGCAAACAGG
rnacentral:rRNA from 1 species